CCAUCUCUUAAGAAGUAGCUUUGAAGUUAAUAAUGACUGAAAACAUAAAACUUCUGUACUUUUGAGAUAAGAUUUAAAAUUUGUGAAAAUGUCGGUGUCAAGGCUGAGUAUUAGAUGUUGAAGUUUCCAGAUUUGACUGAAGCCUUAAGAUUUAGGGAUGUCAUAAACCAAAGUUAAGUAGGAUUUGCAUUUUCACAACAAUUAUUUUAAACCCAGUUCCUUUUCAAUUACUCUUGAAUCCUUGCCCACUAGAUGAUAUAAAAGUGAUGAAUCAUUCAAUGUUGUGGUGGAAGGGUAUUUUCAAAGUAAAUUUCCUUGGAGAAAACUGCUAGGAAUUCACUCCUCUGUGAGCCAAAGCAAGGAGGUGGGCUGACAUCCUGUCUUCUCUGAUCAGCCUUUGCCUGAACCACUUUGGAGAUGUACUCCCUGCAGUCAGAGGAACAAUCAUUCUUGAUGCAAGCUAUUAUGUUUAGAGUGGCUAAGCAAUGAGGUCCUGCUACGCAGCACAGGGAACAGUAUCCAGUCUCUUCGGAUGGAUCAUGAUGGAGGAUAAUAUAAGGAAAAGAAUGUUUAUAUGUGUAAUAAUAUCCACAUACCCAGCAUGCGUAUGUGUUAAUACUGACCAGAUUUGGGUCAUGCAGAAGACAUGCACUGGGGAAAAGAAGGAUUGAUUUAGAUUCUAUUCAACUGAGCAAUGAAAACUCACCAGACAGAAGCUAGAAUGAGACUGUUGGAUUCUCUGAUAUUAACUGAGUGGGCACCAGAUGGAAAAUGUACUGAAACUGAGAAGAGGUCUCCAAAUAACUACAAGAGUGUGCUGUGAACAAAUGUAUUAGCUUGAAAUAUCUCCCCAGUUCCAGAAAGCACAGGACUGUCUUCAGAGACUAUCAAUCAAAUGAAAGCAUGGUUUACUUCUUAUAUCUACCCACCUAUCUCCAAACCUCAAGGUUUAAUCCAGGGACAAGAGAAGCAAUUUCCUCCCUAAACAAAUAUGAAAUGAGUCCAUGGGAGAAAAAUUAAUUUUCUCUUAUGAUAGCGCCUGAAUCCUGCUUCUUCAUUAUUCUGGUUAUUUAUAUACAAAUUUACCAUUGAUACUAACAAUACAUUUGGGAGUAGAAUUAAGUCUACAUUCUUAGUUAACUUUAUAAAGCUUCAUGACUUUCUUCUACUGCCUAACUUCGGUGUGUGUGUGUCUUGGGACAGCUUAGAGCAGGAAGUUAAGAAGCCAGACUCUAACUCGAGUCUGAUUGGGAUCGGUUGUAGCUCUACUACUUACCAAAGCUGUGACCCUCUGGUGACUUAUUUAACUUCUUGUUGAUUAGUGUAUUCAUCUGUAAAAUAUAUCUAACAGUAGUACUUACCUGAGGUGGGGGGGGGGGCAUUUAAGGAAUAAAUGAACAAUUCUCAAUACAUUUGAAUUUCCAUAAAAUUAUUUAUCAUUCCUAAUAUUGUUAUAAAUGAUAGUUCUGGUAAACUGGUUCUUAUUACUGACAAUGUUAGAUCAAAGGUCAUGCAUAUUUAUAAAUUUAUUAGAAACUAUCAAACUGUGCUCUAAAAACCCAUUUACAAACAAGUCUCUAGAUUUAAAAGAAAAAGCUACAUAUAAAUGGAAGCCAUGUGAAGGGAAAUGUCAAGAGGUCCCUUUAACAAUGAACUAUAGUUUAUAGAGAGUCAGCUGCUUUGAAAGUUAUUUAGGAGAAAUAUACAGAACAGGUGGACUGUAUGACCUGUUUGCCCUGUGAAAACUGGUAUUUGAAAUGACCCGAUUCUCAACCUGAGAAUUUUCAAAGUGACAAAUUAUGCUCAUUUGGCUUGUAAUGAUGUUCUAAUUACAGGCUAUAAGACCAAUGAUGGAUUUCCUUAACUUCUUUACUGAAAGUUCUCUAAUCCUGUUGUGACCUUUUCAUAUUCAAGCAUGUAGAAGUGUUUUCAGAAACAACUAAAAGUUUUAUAGUGAUAUAUUUAAAUAUAUAUUUCUUUUUUUAGGAUAAGCUUACAUGUUUUACUUUGAAUCAAUCCUUUUAGUAUGCUUCAGCCCUCAUAGUACGCUCUUUAUUUAUUUAAACAAAUGUACGAUGAAAGCAGUUUUAAGAAUUACCUAAUUUCUCUUGGUUUCGGUAGGAUUUAGAAGCUCUGCAUCAGGGCUUCUUUAGAUGCACCUGUGUAAAGGAUAUUGGCAUUUGUUUGUUUUCGUUAUUUUAACAUUUCUUAUCUUAAUAAGUAAUUAAGUAAUUCUCAAAAUGUGUUGUGUGCAUAAAACCAGGCACUGGAGAUGCAAAUGUAAACAAAUAGAUCAGCACAGUGUUCAUGAUGCUUACAACCUAGUUUGGGGACAGACCAUCUACAGUCUUAUACUUGAGACCUGUGGGCAUUUAGAAGACACAGAUUAGUUCACCUGGGGAAAGAUGAAUAGAUGACUGAUUGAGAAGAGAAGAAACAAUGAGACUGAGAGAGAGAGAAACAAGUGAAAUGGGAUGGAAAUCAUGAGCUUUUUCUAAGACAGUGUAGCAGAGACUGUUUCCAAAAGGAGGUAGAGCUAAUGGGUAUAGAAAGGCACUGAUAUGUCGUGUAUGAUGUAGAAACAUGAAGGUUCUUGAAAAACUUGACAGAUCCUGUUCAUUACAAUGAAGGAGGUUGAACCCAAAUUGAAUAGGAUUUAGGAUUGAAUCAAAAAAGAAAAAUGGAAACUAUGUUUGUUUUCUAUGUCUGUGAGUCUGUUUCUGUUUUGUAUCUAGAUUCAUUUGUAUUGUUUUUUAUUUGCCACAUAUAAUUGAUAUUAUAUAAUCUUUGUCUUUGACUGACUUCUCUUAGUAUGAUAAUAUCUCUAGGUUUGACUUGGCUUCAAAUGGCAAUGUUUUACUCUUUUAUUAUAAGCAAUAUCCCAUAUUUUUAAACCAUUCAUCUGUUUCUGGGCACUUGGGUUGUUCACAUGUCUUGGCUAUUGUAAAUUGAUCUGUAGUGAACAUUGGAGUGCAUGUAUCUUUUCAAAUUAUAGUUUUCUCUGAAAUGUGCCCAGAAGUGGAUUGUAGGAUCAUAUGUUAGCCCUAUUUUCAGUUUUUUAUUUUUUUAUUUUUUAUUUAUUUAUUUAUUUAUUUUUUCUUUUUUUUAUUACUCAAAUGAAUUUAUCACAUUUGUAGUUGUAUAAUGAUCAUAACAAUCUGAUUUCACAGGAUUUUCAGUUUUUUAAAGGAAACUUCAUAUUGUUCUCCACAGAAUGUGGCUAUACUGAUUUACAUUCCCACCAAAAGUAUAGGAGGGUCCCCAUUUCUCUACAUCUUCUCCAGCAUUUAUUGUUUGUAGUUUUGAUGUUGGCCAUUCUUAUCAGUGUGAGAUUCAAGUUAUGUUUCUGUAAUAGUUAGUGAUAUUUAGCAUCUUUUCAUGUGCCUGUUGGUUAUCUGUAUGUCUUCUUUGUCGAAAUGUUUAUUUAGGUCUUCUGCCCAUUUUGUGUGGGUGUGUGUGUGUGUGUGUGUGUCUUUUUAGGGCCACACCUGCAACAUAUGGAAGUUCCGAGGCUAGGAGUUGAAUUAAAGCUGUAGCUGUGGCCUACACCACAGCCACAGCAACGCAGGAUCUGAGCCACAUCUGCAACCUACACCACAGCUCAGGGUAACGCUGGAUUCCUGACCCACUGAGGGAGGCCAGGGAUUGAACCUGUGUCCUCAUGGAUACUAGUUGGGAUCAUUACUGCUGAGUCACAAUGGGAACUCCCUUUGCCCAUUUUUUGAUCAAGUUUUUUAUUUUCAUUAUUUUGCUAUUGAGUUGUAGGAUCUGUAAAUUCUGGAUUGUAACCCCUUGUUGGUUGAAUCAUAUUUUUUCCCAUUCUGUAGGUUUUCUUUUUUAGGAAGAGCAGAAGAGAGGGAUAAAUUAGUAUAUAAUAUUAGCAGAUAUAAACUACUAUACAUAAAAUAGGUAAUUAGCAAGGAUUUGCUGUAUAGCACAGGGAACUAUAAUAAAUAACUUGUAAUGACCUAUAAUGGAAAGUAAUCUGAAAUAUGUAUAACUGAAUCAUGUUUCUGUACACCUGAAACUAACACAAUAUUGUCAAAAGAUUGUAAUUCAGUCAAUUGAGAGAGAGACAUGGAGACAGUACAUAAACCUACAAAACUUUCAAAGACAGACGAUAUUAGAGCAUGACAGAAUGACACACAGAGGGCUGAAAUUACAGUUCAGGUGAGAAACCCCCAUCAUAAACAAGAUACAGUUCUAGAAUGGGAGGCGUACAUAAUGAAAUUGCAGGUUUAUAUUAACAAUAAAAAUCUAAUGAGAAGACUUGAAUUGGAAGAGUUCUCAAGAGCCAGAGCAUCAUCCUCAAGACUUUACGGGACAUUUGGUUCUGUCCAGAAUGUCCAUGAGACUUUUUGUCUAUAAGACAUUUGAUCCAUGCCAAACAUGUCUGUAAGCAUAUUUUGGCCAUUCCACAUGGUUUUGGAAAGGAAUGAAAAUCUAGGGCCUUUUGACAUGGACAAAAUAUCUUCAUGGACAUUUCAGACAGGACCAAAUGGUCCUGCAAAUAUCAAGGAUGUUUUUGCAUGGACCAGAUAUCUUAUAGGGAUUUUAGAUAGACCAACUGUUUGCUAACUGCCUUAAAAUUGUAUCUGUACAUCUUUUUUUUUUUUCUUUUUAUUGCCAUGCCCAUGGCAUAUGGAAAUUCCCAGACCAGAGGUCAAAUCAGAACUGCUGCUGUGGCCUGCACCACAGCUCAUGGAAACUUGGGUCCCAAGCCCACUGAGCAAAGGCAGGGAUCAAACCCACAUCCUCACAAAGACAAUGUUAGUGCCUAACUCACUGAGCCAAAGUAGAAACUCAGUGUGUAUAUAUGUAUAUCGUAAUGUUAUGGGGCUAGUGGAUUAAUGGACUAGACCAAGGUCACAGCUUUAAGGAAUAUACAAUAAAUGUUUUACAUACUUAUAAAUAGGGAUUAUUUCUGUUUCUACCUCAGAAGAGUUUGUCUAUUUAAAAUAUAUAGUUUUGUAUUAAAUAGAUAUUGCCUUAAACUUAACUUCCUUUUCUUGAUUACAAAAGGUAACUAAAAUAUUAAUGCUAUCCCCAUCUCUCUCUUUCAUUCUAGUCCAUCCUAA
rnacentral:lncRNA from 1 species